AGGGAGGGCGAGCCUUUAGGAGUUCCGCGGGCCGCAGGCGGGGGUGGACGAGUCGCAGAUCCCCCUCCCCUGGCAAAAACAGGACGCAGGCUUCGGUUCUGGCGCGGAACAAUGGGAGCACCCAGGAACCGGGCGAGUGCUGCUUCCUCCGCCUCGGCCCCGGGUUUUCUCGCUCCCCAGCCCCGCUCGGGCCUCCCGACCGCCGCCACCUCCUUGGCCCGGCCCUUCCCCGCCUGCUACAAUGUGGCGCUUCCUUUGGUGACCGCUGCCUCCUUCUAUUUUUGUAAACGUAUUUGCCCUAUCUCUCCCUUGGUUGCCAGAAGUGGUCUUCCCGUCUCAUUGUCAGCGUAAUGCUGAGUUGCGAUCUCCUUCCGGAAAAAAUUUUUUUUCCUCCAAAAAUCCAAAUCUAGGAGGAAAUGCAGCCAAUUCAGCACAACCUUUAUUUAACUAUAACUACACUCUGCCGUGUGAAGGAAAAAUACAAUCUGAAGCGCGUGUCGCUUGUCCUAG
rnacentral:lncRNA from 1 species